rnacentral:rRNA from 1 species
AUGGAGACAGGAGAAGCUGGGGGAGGAAUGGUCCUCUGGGACGACACCGGCGCUAUAAUUUACACAACAUGCAGGGAGAUUUUCGCAUGUGAUAUUGGCUUGGAGGCAAAGCUCCUGGCGUGUAGAGAAGGUGUCGAGCUCGCGCUGCACAGAACCCAGCUCCCCUUUGUAGAGCUUGACUGUGCAGAGGCGGUAAUGAUGAUCAAGAGUCCCAUGCAGAAUCGCUCGAAGUAUACGGCACUGGUACAGGACAUCAAAGGAAUGAUUGCUGAGAGUAUGAGGGAGAUAGUGUUCGCUCACAUUAGUCGCUCACAGAAUAAGGUCGCUCAUGGCCUUGCUGCCUACGGUAGAUGCACACCUCGCACCGCGGUGUGGUGUGGGUUUGGGGACAAAUGA